rnacentral:rRNA from 1 species
UACGUAGGGAGCAAGCGUUGUCCGGAAUCAUUGGGCGUAAAGCGCGCGUAGGCGGCCCUGUAAGUCCGCUGUGAAAGUCAAAGGCUCAACCUUUGAAAGCCGGUGGAUACUGCAGGGCUAGAGUCCGGAAGAGGCGAGUGGAAUUCCUGGUGUAGCGGUGGAAUGCGCAGAUAUCAGGAGGAACACCAAUAGCGAAGGCAGCUCGCUGGGACGGUACUGACGCUGAGGUGCGAAAGCGUGGGGAGCAAACAGG